CCAAGGGAGAAGGAGUCUUCCUAGAGCAAGUGAAGGGAAGAGAUUUGGCUAAGUUCUACUCCAGAUCCUAGAAAAAAAUCCAUCCAAGACACAAUUUGAUCCUGAAGCACCUGUCUGCCCAUUCCUGAGCAAUGUAUCCAGUUUUGAUGCCCUUCACACAGUGCUAGGUCCUGCACACUCAAGACUUCUGGUGGAGUUUAUGGCAGGUUGGAUAAUGUGGAAACUCGAGAAUCAGGAGGUGAAAUAUCACCUGUGCAAGGGAGGACAGUGUGCAGAGGACACAAUACUGGCUCAAGGACAGGGCACCACAUAGCUUCAGACUGCAUGAAAGAUGACCUCAGGAGACAUCAAAGAAGCAAGGAAAAGAUGCUGCAGGCUGGUUGCUGCCUCUGAGCACCAGAUAUGCACAGCUAGGGCUCCCGGUGCCAGGAGCUGUGGGACUGGCAUGAGGAGAGGGUUCAGAUAUGGAAGGGGGGUGUCCUCAGGCUGGGGGAUGCCUAUACCCAGGUUGCCAAGGUACAAGAAUGGGAGCUCAAGAUGGCAACCUGCUGUUUUGAGGUUGGUCCCUCUUCCCCUUGCUGGUUCGACUCACUGGAAAGAGGGACCAAGUUGUGACACAGGAAAUGUUCAACAGGUUUUCUUUAUUAAAAA